rnacentral:rRNA from 1 species
UGAAAGUAACGGUCCAGCCGGCGGGGUAAUACGUAGGGUCCAAGCGUUAUACUGAAUCACUGGGCGUAAAGCGUCCGCAGACGGAAGCUUAAGUGAGAUGUUAAAUCGUGUGGCGCAACCAUAUCGAUGCAUCUCAUACUGGGUUGCUAGAGGAUGGCAGAGGCAAGUGGAAUUAGCAGUGUAGCAGUGAAAUGCGUAGAUAUUGCUAGGAACACCAAUGGCGAAGGCAGCUUGCUGGGCCAUUUCUGACGGUCAUGGACGAAAGCGUGGGGAGCGAACAGGAUUAGAUACCCGUGUAGUC